rnacentral:rRNA from 1 species
UACGUAGGGCGCAAGCGUUGUCCGGAAUUAUUGGGCGUAAAGAGCUCGUAGGCGGUUUGUCGCGUCUGCUGUGAAAACCUAAGGCUCAACCUUGGGCUUGCAGUGGGUACGGGCAGACUAGAGUGCGGUAGGGGUGACUGGAAUUCCUGGUGUAGCGGUGGAAUGCGCAGAUAUCAGGAGGAACACCGAUGGCGAAGGCAGGUCACUGGGCCGGCAACUG